ACAAAACAAAUUAGUGUCGUUAUCAUAAUGUUAUAUAUAUUUGUAGGUAUAUCCUACAUCUAUUCGGGCUUCUGGUCUCGGGUCAUGUUCGGCAUGUGCUCGUGUGGGCGCAAUGAUCACACCUUUCCUAGCACAGGUAUUAUUGGAUGCCUCACUGACAGCGGCAGUUUGGGUUUAUGCCUCAAUUUGUUUGUGUUGUGCAAUUACAUCAACUUUGUUACCAAUAGAAACUAAAGGGAGAGCAUUAAAGCAAGUGGUGACUUGACACACUGGCAACACGUCAAUUGAUGGUUUUACUCGUACUGAAACUGGACGGUGCUGGACGGUGCUUAGCUUGACCGUGUGUUCAUCUUUGCAGCACUACUUGAUAAUAAGACAUUGAUAAUGAUGAAAUCAUUUAAAACUUUAAUCAAACAGUUAUUAUUAUAUCAUUAUAAUUUGAAGACAACAGAAGUAAUUGUCUAUAUUAUGUUAUUUCAUUUCAUUCUACAUGUGAUAACAUUUGAAAGGAUAUUUAUGUAUUUAUUUUAGCUCUAUGGCUGAAAUAAAUUUGUGUGCUGUAA